rnacentral:rRNA from 1 species
GACGAACGCUGGCGGCGUGCUUAACACAUGCAAGUCGAACGGAAAGGCCCUGCUUUUGUCGGGUUCUCGCGUGGCGAACGGGUGAGUAACCCGUGAGUAUCCUUCCCUGUACUUUGGGAUAUCUUCAGGAAACUGGGGCUAAUACCGGAUAGGAGCUCCUGCUGCUGGGUGGGGUUCGGAACUUUUAGGCUGUGGUGGAUCGACGCGCGGUUAAUCAGCUUGUUGGUGGGGGAGUGGCUUACCAAGGCUUCGACGGGUAGCCGGCAUGAGAGGGUUGACGGGCUCAAUGGGACUGCGAUACGGAGCAGAGUCGUACGGGAGGCAGCAGUGGGAAAUAUUACACAAUGGGGGGAAGCGUGAUGAAGCAACCUUGCGAGCGUGAUGACGGCCUUCGGGUUGUAAACCGCUGUAGCCUGUGACGAAGCGGUAGUGACGGUAAUGAGUAAAGAAGCACCGGCUAACUACGUG